UUAGUUGUUUCCACCGAAAAAUUGAAAGAGAAUGCUUCAUGGUUGAACUUGAGAGGUUUGGCCAUAACCGUCCUUACAUUUGCCAAAUUUGCGGACUGGCAGUAUGGAUCGACUGGAAGCUUACAGUAUUCAACUAUUUUUAAGUUGUGAAUUUUUAAAAUGUUAUGUUAUGAUGAUAUAUCUAGUUAAAUAGUUGGUUUUGGAUGUGUAUCUGUUUUAGGUUAGGUUAAUCCUUAAGGUCAAGAAAUUGGUCUCAAACUGUUUUUAGGGUCCUGUCUGCUCAAUUUGAUCUUAGAUUGUUCUCAAAUUGUUUUUAGGGCCAUAUAUGCUCGAUUUAAGGCCUAUUUGUGUAUGUAUGCCAGGAAUUAAAUUAUUUGGCAAAUGCUAGUGUUUAGUUAAAA